rnacentral:tmRNA from 1 species
GGGGACGUUUUGGAUUUGACAGGAUGUUCGGUGAAAAUAGACUGCGGGUCCGUGCGCUGUUCACGGUUAUCAACGAGCAAAACAAAUUAAAUGCUAACAAUGUAAUUAAAGCUGACUUCUCUAGAGCACAAGCUCUAGCUGCUUAGUCGCGACUAGCUACUCAUAAGUCCCAGCUUGCCGGAUUUAUGGGUCAAUGAUGCAAGACGCAGUACAGUGAUUGAUGGUAACUGUAUCAAGCUAACCAUCAAAGGUUUGGAGUUUCCUUUAAAUAAAACCUUGGGCUGAUUUGUCGGGUAUUGAUUUUUUCCUGAAUCAGUUGAGCGAAUGAAAAUCUACACUCGUAGAAGUUUAUUUUAAUCCAUUUUGGACGUGGGUUCGACUCCCACCGUCUCCA